rnacentral:rRNA from 1 species
UAGCUAGUUGGUGGGGUAAGGGCCUACCAAGGCGACGAUCGGUAGCUGGUCUGAGAGGAUGACCAGCCACACUGGAACUGAGACACGGUCCAGACUCCUACGGGAGGCAGCAGUGGGGAAUAUUGGACAAUGGGGGCAACCCUGAUCCAGCAAUGCCGCGUGUGUGAAGAAGGCCUGAGGGUUGUAAAGCACUUUCAGUGGGGAGGAGGGUUGAUAGGUUAAGAGCUAAUUAACUGGACGUUACCCACAGAAGAAGCACCGGCUAACUCCGUGCCAGCAGCCGCGGUAAUACGGAGGGUGCGAGCGUUAAUCGGAAUUACUGGGCGUAAAGGGUGCGUAGGUGGUUGAUUAAGUUAUCUGUGAAAUUCCUGGGCUUAACCUGGGACGGUCAGAUAAUACUGGUUGACUCGAGUAUGGGAGAGGGUAGUGGAACUUCCGGUGUAGCGGUGAAAUGCGUAGAGAUCGGAAGGAACACCAGUGGCGAAGGCGGCUACCUGGCCUAAUACUGACACUGAGGCACGAAAGCGUGGGGAGCAAACAGGAUUAGAUACCCUGGUAGUCCACGCUGUAAACGAUGUCAACUAGCUGUUGGUUAUAUGAAAAUAAUUAGUGGCGC